rnacentral:rRNA from 1 species
GACUACUGGGGUAUCUAAGCCUGUUUGCUCCCCACGCUUUCGUACCUCAGCGUCAACAGUCGUCCAGUGAGCCGCCUUCGCCACUGGUGUUCUUCCGAAUAUCUACGAAUUUCACCUCUACACUCGGAAUUCCACUCACCUCUCCGACGUUCAAGCGAGGCAGUCUUAAAGGCAAUUCUGGGGUUGAGCCCCAGGCUUUCACCUCUAACUUACCAAGCCGCCUACGUACGCUUUACGCCCAGUAAUUCCGAACAACGCUAGCCCCCUCCGUAUUACCGCGGCUGCUGGCACGGAGUUAGCCGGGGCUUAUUCUCCCGGUACAGUCAUUAUCUUCCCGGGUAAAAGAGCUUUACAACCCUAAGGCCUUCAUCACUCACGCGGCAUUGCUGGAUCAGGCUUUCGCCCAUUGUCCAAUAUUCCCCACUGCUGCCACCCGUAGG